UUCCAACCCCCCUGCCAUGGGCAGGGACAUCUUCCACUAGAUCAGGUUGCUCCAAGUCCCAUCCAAACUGACCUUGAAUACUUCCAGAGAUGGGGAGAUGAGAGCU